rnacentral:rRNA from 1 species
GAUCAUGGACUCAGGAUGAACGCUGGCGGCGUGCCUAACACAUGCAAGUCGAACGGAGUCGUUUUGGAAAAUCCUUCGGGAUUGGAAUUCUCGACUUAGUGGCGGACGGGUGAGUAACGCGUGAGCAAUCUGCCUUCAAGAGGGGGAUAACAGUCGGAAACGGCUGCUAAUACCGCAUAAAGCAUCAAAUUCGCAUGUUUUUGAUGCCAAAGGAGCAAUCCGCUUUUA